rnacentral:rRNA from 1 species
GGGACGGGUGAGUAACGCGUGGAUAACCUGCCUCACACUGGGGGAUAACAGUUAGAAAUGGCUGCUAAUACCGCAUAAGCGCACAGUACCGCAUGGUACGGUGUGAAAAACCCAGGUGGUGUGAGAUGGAUCCGCGUCUGAUUAGCCAGUUGGCGGGGUAACGGCCCACCAAAGCGACGAUCAGUAGCCGACCUGAGAGGGUGACCGGCCACAUUGGGACUGAGACACGGCCCAA